UGGGCAUUGCAGGAUGAUCACAUAGAGUCUGAUGAAGAGCUCCCUAAGAAGACAAAACGUUACGUUGCUAAUGCUGCAGAGACAUUUGAUGCUGAAUUUUAUGCUAAGUUCAAUGAUGAUAUAUACAUAAAUGUUGACACUCUGAGUGCAAUGCUUGAAACUCACUGGGACAAGCCUCGUGUCUACAUAGGUUGUAUGAAAUCUGGGGAGGUCUUUUCUGAAGCGACCCAUAAGUGGUAUGAACCGGAUUGGUGGAAAUUUGGUGACGGGAAAUCAUACUUUCAACAUGCUUCUGGUGAAAUGUUUGUCGUAUCAAGGGUCGUGUCUCAGUUCAUUUCUAUAAACAGGUCUGUUCUCCGGACAUAUGCACAUGAUGAUGUUAGUGUUGGAUCGUGGAUGAUUGGGCUUGCUGUAAAGCAUGUAAAUGAAGCAAAGCUAUGUUGUUCAUCAUGGCCCUCAGGUUUUACCGUCUCCUUCACUGUACUUAUCGGCCUUGUUAUUUCUUCCUUUUUUUCCUUGGAACUUGGUAUGUGGACGUUAUCUCAUUUUUCUUGUCAAGAUUGCAUUGUGAUGAAUGUAUCUUUGGUAUUCAGGCCAUUUAUUACCUAG
rnacentral:rRNA from 1 species